rnacentral:rRNA from 1 species
AUUGAACGCUGGCGGCAUGCUUUACACAUGCAAGUCGAACGGUAACAGGCCGCAAGGUGCUGACGAGUGGCGAACGGGUGAGUAAUGCAUCGGAACGUGCCCAGUCGUGGGGGAUAACGCAGCGAAAGCUGCGCUAAUACCGCAUACGAUCUAUGGAUGAAAGCGGGGGACCGUAAGGCCUCGCGCGAUUGGAGCGGCCGAUGUCAGAUUAGGUAGUUGGUGAGGUAAAGGCUCACCAAGCCGACGAUCUGUAGCUGGUCUGAGAGGACGACCAGCCACACUGGGACUGAGACACGGCCCAGACUCCUACGGGAGGCAGCAGUGGGGAAUUUUGGACAAUGGGGGCAACCCUGAUCCAGCAAUGCCGCGUGCAGGAAGAAGGCCUUCGGGUUGUAAACUGCUUUUGUACGGAACGAAACGGCUCUGGUUAAUACCUGGGGCUAAUGACGGUACCGUAAGAAUAAGCACCGGCUAACUACGUGCCAGCAGCCGCGGUAAGAC